AGUUGCAGGUCUCUGCAUAAUCUUCUGUGUUCUGAUGGCUGGAUUUUUACAGUACAUAUUUUGCAAGUUACAGCUUGAAGCUUCCUCCUUGCAGAAUGUUCUGUCAUUUGAAGGAACUCCACCCUGCUCUCCCUUGAAGAUGUGCAAUCCUAGGCCGUGUUUGAGCACGCCUGGGAAGGCAGGUGCAGCCUGGCUGGAUCCUCAACAUUGCCUGCAAAUAAACACUGUUUAAACAAAUUGGACUAAAAAGUACAUUCAAUAUUCAGCAAAAUGCUAUAGUCUAACAUGAAUUCGUUCCCUCCAUGCCACUUCCUCCAUCAUGUUACUCACAGAAGAAUUCUCAGGUGGAUGGCAACACAUUUAAGCUCUACCAGCACACCCUGUGGAAGUUAUUCCAAGGCUAUUUUCAUCUCUGAACACACAGAAAUUAAAUUGCUGAGUGUUGAAAGGGAGGAUUGCUGUCAGGAAAGAUCAAGAAAUGGAAAUGUACCUCUUCUGGGAUGUGUGUCAAGGAGAUCUGGAGAACCUUAACCUGAAAUAGAGGAUGAAGUAAGAACAAGUGCCAGUGGCAAAGGCAAGAAAGGAAAAUGAUACAAAUUCUAUCCUUCAGCAGGUGGGAUGAAAAGGAAAGGGAGACAUGCAAAAUUUUCUGGGUUUAAAUGCUUGAGAGACGCUCUGAAGCUGUUAUGAUAGACAGACACAUAAAAGCCAAAUGAUUGCAUAGUUAUGAGCAGCAAAAC